UACGAAGGGGGCAAGCGUUGUUCGGAUUUACUGGGCGUAAAGGGCGCGCAGGCGGUUUUUCAAGUCGGGUGUGAAAGCCCCGGGCUCAACCUGGGAACUGCACUCGAGACUGAAGAACUAGAGUUCGGGAGAGGAUGGCGGAAUUCCCAGUGUAGAGGUGAAAUUCGUAGAUAUUGGGAAGAACACCGGUGGCGAAGGCGGCCAUCUGGACCGAGACUGACGCUGAGGCGCGAAAGCGUGGGGAGCAAACAGG
rnacentral:rRNA from 1 species